rnacentral:rRNA from 1 species
UUAAACUUUAUCUUAGUAUUUGUUGUUUAAAGAACCAUCUUUGAUAAUUUAAAGUAAAAGUAUUUGUUAAAGAAAUAUAUUUUGUUGUUUUAUAGAUUAUUGUACUGUAAAGGAAUGAUGAAAUAAUAAUUAAUUAAAAAAAAGAAGAUUUUUAUGAUCGUACCUUGUGUAUCAGGGUUGAGUAAAAUAUGAUUUGUAUAAAUGUAUCCCGAAUUAGAGCGAGUUAUGUUUUAGAGUUUUUAAAUGUAUCAAAAUUUUUAUAAACUAAGACAUGGGGUGAAAUGCCAUUCGAGUUUUUUUAUCUGGUUUUUUGGGAAAUGAAUUUAAUUCAAUUAACUAUAGUUUAGAUAAAUUUAGAUUUAUUUAGAUUUCAUAGUUACUAAAAUUUUAGAGGGAUGAGCUUCUAAAGUUAGGGGUACAAUAAGUAUAUUUUUUUUAAAUGAUUUCAGGCUUAAUAAUGGCUUAAAAUAUAAAGUUUUUUAUAAUUUACAUUGUUUAAAAAUAGUAUUUUUUUUCUUGUUUACUUUAUUACCAAAAUUAUUAAUUUAACUAAAAAUUUAAAGUAAUAAUGCUUAAAUUAGUAGAAAUGUUUUUAAAGUAAUUUAUAUAUUUUAAAGGAACUCGGCAAAUCUAUUUUCCGCAUGUUUAUCAAAAACAUCUCUUUCUGAUAAUAGAAAGUACCGCCUGCUCAAUGCUUUUGUAAAUAGCCGCAGUAUUCUGACUGUGCUAAGGUAGCAUAAUCAUUAGUCUUUUAAUUGAAGGCUGGUAUGAAUGGCGAGACGAGAAAAAAGCUGUCUCUAAAAUAUUGGUUGAAUUUUAUUUUUAAGUGAAAAAGCUUAAAUAUGUUUGGGGGACGAUCAGACCCUUUGGAGCUUUAUUUUUAAUAAUACUUUUUUUAAUUUAAUAUAAUAAAGUGUUUUUAAAAAUUUUGUUGGGGCGACAGGAAGUAAAGAGUAACACUUUUUUUAUUAAACACAAAUUAGUGGAAUAUUGAUCCCCUGAGAGGGAUUAUAAGAUUAAGUUACCCUAGGGAUAACAGCGUAAUCUUUUUGGAGAGUUCUAAUCGAUAAAAAGGUUUGCGACCUCGAUGUUGGAUUAAGAAAUUGGCAAGGUGUAGAAGUUUUGUUGGAAAGUCUGUUCGACUUUUAAUUUCUUACAUGAUCUGAGUUCAAACCGGUGUAAGCCAGGUUGGUUUCUAUCUUCAAAUUAUUGUUAGCUUUUUUAGUACGAAAGGAUUGAAAAGCUGAGAGAUUUCUUAAGUUUAAGAAAUAAAUUAAUUUAACAAAAUUUUUUU